AGCUUUGCGCAGUGGCAGUAUCGUAGUCAAUGAGGUUAAUCCGAGGCGCGGUUAUUGCUAAUUGAC